rnacentral:rRNA from 1 species
ACUACAACGGGUGGAGCCUGCGGUUUAAUUGGACUCAACGCCGGAAACUCACCGGGGGCGACAGCAAUAUGUAGGUCAAGCUAAAGACUUUACCAGAAUCGCUGAGAGGAGGUGCAUGGCCGUCGUCAGUUCGUACUGUGAAGCAUCCUGUUAAGUCAGGCAACGAGCGAGACCCGUGCCCACUGUUGCCAGCAUGUCCUUCGGGAUGAUGGGUACUCUGUGGGACCGCCGAUGCUAAAUCGGAGGAAGGUGCGGGCUACGGUAGGUCAGUAUGCCCCGAAUCUCCCGGGCUACACGCGGGCUACAAUGACUGGGACAAUGGGCUCCUACCCCGAAAGGGGAUGGUAAUCUCAUAAACCCAGCCUUAGUUCGGAUCGAGGGCUGUAACCCGCCCUCGUGAAGCUGGAAUCCGUAGUAAUCGCGUUUCAACAUAGCGCGGUGAAUACGUCCCUGCUCCUU